rnacentral:snRNA from 1 species
AUCGCUUCUCGGCCUUUUGGCUAAGAUCAAGUGUAGUAAAAUGCAGUCGCGAAAUAACAUGUAAUGUGUCACAAUAAAGGAUCUUUAGAAAAAUAGAUAUUUUAUACAUACAGUACACACAGCAUAUGUACUUGAAAGAAAUACUC